UCUCCAUCACCUACGGUGAGACUUUGGUCUCCUCAGGCCAAAGCUUUGAAUUAGGCUUCUUUUUGUUGGAAAAUUACAUCAAUAUUGUGUACAUUAUAUUCACAAACAUGCCAUUUAUGUUCACGAAGUCGAAAUGCAAUUUCGUCUUACCGAAAUGAAUUUGAGAAGAUGAAACGAUAGAUUCAAUCAUUUCCUUUCUUUAUUUCAAACCUACAUGAAAUUAAAAGAAUGUUAUUACUUUUCUGAAAUCAAAUAUGAAGAAAGAAAUCAGAAAGAAUUAAGGUGAGAUGCGAGUGAUGCGAUCGGCCGAGGCAAGUGUUAGACAUGUUGUCCUUAAGAUGAAUUUGCUCCGCAUUGGUGCUAACGAUUUUUUGGUAAUCAUCUCCCAAAAUACAAUGACCAAGUCGAGCCAUAGGAACACUCCUAAUGGCUUAGACCAACGAACUAGAACUUAGUUCUCUCUCUACCAAAACCAUGACUUUGAUACAAAUGUUUUAUGCAAAACCAAAGUGUAACAUAAAAUGGAAUGAUAUGGAAUUAUGAGUUGAGUUUCUUUUUUGUUGAUAAAAUUGAAACGCAUGGAGUCUAUAUAUAAUAGUUGGAAAGAUAUGCCAAAUGACAGAACCAUACCAAGAGACUCAUCUCUUAAAAUUUAUUUUUAUACAUUAAGAAACACAAUUAUUGGAAAUUAAUCAUACACAAACCAAGAGUCAUGAUCAUUCAUAUGAAAAGACACAUCCAUAUAUUUCUAGAAUAUUCCACAAUAUUCUAUACAAUUUUCCAACAAUUUCAAGUAUUAAGUGGAUUACAUUUGACUAAUUUGUCAUUAACCAAAUUAAGAAUUCCACUUAAUAAAAUUGGUCACAAUCAAUUUUCGAUACAAAAUUCCAACACUUUUCACUCAGUAUUUCUGGCAAAUGGUACAUAGGAAUAUGGUACAAGAAAUUCCCAAAAAUCAUUGUGUGCAUUGCAAACAGGGAAAUCCCAUUAAGGAAUUCAUCUGGUGUUUUAACAGUUACCCCUAAUGGAGAUCUCGUUCUUUUGAAUAGCAGUGGCAUAGCUAUUGGAAACUGGCAACCUUGUACUCAGAAGAGAAGAUGAUACCACACAAAACUAUAUAUGGCAAAGCUUUAAUUACCCAUCUGAUACGCUUUUACCAGGCAUGAAAUUCGGAUGGAGCACCGACACAAACAGGUAUUUAACAUCAUGGAAAGAUGUUAGUGACCCCUCUCCUGGAGACGUUACUUUUCGACUCGAAAAUAUUGGGAUGCCUCAAUUUGUUCUUCUCAAGGGAUCAGAAACGAUUUACCGGUCAGGGCCAUGGAAUGGAAUUGAAUUUAGUGGUUCUUGUUAGGAUCUUCCUUAAGCCGCUCAAAGUGAUUUCCGGGCUCAGUUAACCAUUAAACAUCGAAUUCAACACCAAAAUCUAAGAUGACCGAACCGCCGGCUUCAACUCUCCUAUGGUUGCUAUUUCCUCUUUUGCUUGUUGAUUCAACCACACACUUAGGAUGGAUACCACACAGGUAAGAGUCACAAAGGCUCAAGCAAUUGGUAGGGAAGACAAAUCACGAAGAAGAAGGCGGCAGUUUCUCUUUACCUCUCGAGUUCAAUCAAAAACGGGGUGAGGAGAAGAGCUUAACCUCCAAUAUAUAUAUUAGUUAAAUGGCCAACUUAAGGUAAGUCACAAUAUGGUAAGUAGGCUCGACUAGGGUUAAGUCCUAAUGGAAAGAAACAACAAGCCACAAAGAGUAUUAGCCAUCCAAUAGGUAAAGCAACGUUUGGUCGGUUCAUCCAUUAUUCGAUGUUGAAUUAUCGUUCAGUCAUUCAUGUCGACUGAUAAAAUUGGUUUUCAUCAUCGUCCGGGAGGUCGUUUGACAACAUGAUGUCUAACAACCUCCACCUUGGUGUCAAAGGACCUGCAAAGAAAAACGUUUUUCCAUUAGUGACACCUCUAACAGAAAAACCGAUAAAAUUGAAAUCAUUUACCUGUACCGAUAUUUAGAAGCUCUUUGCAACUUCUAAACUUUACCAGUGGCAGCACUUUCGUGCCCAUAUCUGAAGGAUUAUACUGUGUGAAUUUUUUCAAGUCUUACUACUUCUUGUGAUAUUAUAUCCCUAAUGAAGUGUAACCUAACAUCAAUAUGUUUAGUGCGUUCAUGAAAAACAGGAUUCUUACAUAGAUGUAUGGAUGACUGACUAUCAGAAUACACAACCACAUACUCAUUCAAGACACUCAGUUCAUGAAGUAGACCUCUAAGUCAUAGAGCCUCUUUAAUUGCUUCAGUGAUGGCAAUAUAUUCUGACUCUGUAGUGGAUAGUGCAACUAUGUGUUGUAACUGUGAUUUCCAACUAACACACGAAUUUGAUAAGGUGAAUACGUAAGAGGAAGUUGAUUUCCUACCAUCCCUAUCUCCUGCAUAGUCAGCAUCUACAAAACCCUUUAAUUUUACGCCUUCUUUAUUAGCACUAAAUUUUAGACCUACGUCACUUGUACCCUUCAAAUAUCUUAAAAGCCACUUUAAUGCUUCCCAAUGUUCAGGACCUGGAUUAGACAUGUACCUACUGAGAGUACUAAUAGCGAAUCCUAAGUCCGGUCUAGUGCAAACCAUCAAAUACAUUAUGGAACCAAUCACAUUUGAGUAUGGAAUUUUACUCAUGUAUUCCACUUCACGUUCAUUGUAGGGAGCUUGUUCUUUAGAUAGAACAAAAUAGUUUGCAAGAGGCAACGUGACAGGUUUGCAGUCACUCAUAUUAAACUUUUUCAACACCUUUGAUAUGUAUGGAGACUGAUGCAAGAAUACGAUGGAAGUUGACCUAUUUCAUUCUAUUUCCAUGCCUAGAAUCCUUUUAGCCUUUCCUAGGUCUUUCAUGUCAAAUUCUCCACUAAGAUCUGCUUUUAUAUUGUUUAUCCACUUAGGAGAUGAUCCAACUAAAAGCAUGUCUUCCACAUAGAGCAACAAAAACAAAUAAUUGUUAUCAGUCUCGUUGUGUUGAAAGUACAGGCAGUGAUUGAAUUUACUUCUUUGAAAUCCUAUAGUGAGUACAAAGGAGUCAAACCUCUUGUACCACUGUCUAGGUGAUUGCUUUAGACCGCAUAGGGCUCUUUUCAGAAAAUACACAUAAUCAGGUUUUAACUUGUCUUUAAAACCUUUUGGUUGAUUCAUAAAGAUUUGUUCAUCAAGCUCUCCAUGUAAAAAAAUGAUUUUUACAUCUAGUUGUUCAAGUUCCCAGUCAAAGAGCGCAACCAAUGCGAGCAUGACACUAAUAGUAGUGUACUUGACAACUGGUGAGAAAAUCUCGUUAUAAUCAACACCUUCUUUCUGUGUGUAACCCUUUGCUACUAACCUAGCCUUAAAUCUUAAGGGUUCUGUACUACUAGUACCUUCCUUAACCUUAAAGACCCACUUGCAAUCAACGAUUGAUUUAUUCUUAGGUCUCAGUACUAACUCCCAAGUUUGAUUCUUUUCUAGAGAACUCAUCUCUUCUUUCAUAGCCUCAAGCCAUUCCUUAGAUUGACCAAUAUUCAUAGCCUCUUCAAAAAUUUCUGGCUCCCUAUCAACUAGUUCUUCGUAACUAGCGUAUGCAAAAUCCAAUUCAGAUUCAUACCCAAACCUCCUAGGUUCUCUCGUUUGCCUUCUCUCUCUAUUUCUAACUAAGUUAUCGUUAGCUAAUGGAUUUUCUUCCUCAGGAUGCUCUUCUAUCACUACUUCAUUUUCUUCUUCAGGUUCUUGGACCUGAAUCUCCACCUCACUUGAAGUACUAGGUACUGAUGUGUUAAAUUUUCCUAACUCCACCUUAAACCGAUUUCUUUCUUCACUUGAUUCAGUUUCACUUAUAGGUUCGGUUUCGUUCUUUAGACAAGGCAUCUCAUUCUCAUUAAAUGUGAUAUCCCUGCUCACGAUGAUCUUAACUCCUUUUUGGCUUCUAUCCCAUAGCCUAUAGCCCUUAACCCCUUCGGGAUAUCCUAGAAAGACACAAUUCCUGGCUCUAGGUUCUAACUUUUCCUCACUUUGAUGAGAAAAGGCAGCACAGCCAAACGCUUUAAGCAUUGAGUAGUCACCCAAUUUUCCAGACCAUUUCUCAUGUGGAGUAUCACCAUUUAAUGCAGCCGAUGGAGUCAAAUUUAUUAGAUAACAGGCAGUGACAACGGCUUCACCCCAAAAUGACUUAGGAACCCCAGAACUUAACAUCAUGCAGCGCACUUUGUCUAGUAUGGUCCUAUUCAUUCUUUCUGAUACCCCGUUUUACUGGGGAGUAUAAGGAACCGUUUUGUGCCUUAUUAUUCCACUUUCUUUACGCAUCCUAUCGAAUUUAGCAUUACAAAAUUCUAGGCCGUUAUCUGUCCUUAAAAAUUUGAUCCUCUUGCUAGUUUGGUUUUCCAUUUGUUUCUUCCAAUUGUUAAAGUUAUGGAAGAUUUCAAUUUUGUCUUUCAAUAGAUAGACCCACACUUUCCUGGUGUAGUCAUCUAUGAUAGAUAGGAAAUACCUAUUCCCACCCGAUGUGAGAUUACUAGCAGAACCCCACAAAUCAAAAUGCACUAUUAUUCAAGCAUGCUUUUAGCGUUAUGCGUACUGGUGGAAAACGACACUCUAUGGUGCUUUCCAAGCACACAAUGAUCACAGAACGAUAGGUCAGACACACAGUCAUUACCAAAUGCACCUUUUUCAUUAAAUAGCUUAAGUCCUUUAAUGCUUACGUGUGCAAGCCUACUAUGCCACGUAUGUGUGUGAUCGAUUUUGGCGGAAGAGAUAGAGGAGUUUAAUCCUCUAAUCACUUCCCCAGUAGUGAUGUAAAUGUCGUUUUUCUUGAUUCCCUUAAUAGAGAUUAACGCACCCUUCAUCAUUUUAAACAUACCGUUUUCAAUUUUACCGGUGAAGUUGUCUUUCUCAAGUCUUCCUUCUGAAAUCAAAUUCCUAGAUAAUUUCGGAAUGUAUCUAACUUCCUUUAACACGUACACAAAGCCUGUGUUAAAUUUUAUCUUUAUGUCUCCAAUUCCAGCAAUUGUAUAGGCUAAGUUAUCACACAAAACUACUUGUCCAUCAUUAGAUUCUUGCAAGUUUUCAAAUCAGUUCUUUUCAGAUGUCACAUGAAAAGACGCACCAGAAUCUAAUAUCCAUUCAUGAAUGUGAGAAUUAGUAGUUAGAUUUAAUUCAGUAGUGUAUGCGAAUGGACUAGUGAUCACAUAGACUUCACCGUUUUUGGUAUCGGAGGUAGAGGAUAACACAUUUACCUCAUCCCUUUCCUUAACCUUCUGUUUUCCCUUUUCUUUAUGACAGUCUUUUAUAAAAUGCCCUGUGCCUCCACAGCCAUAGCAUUUUCUACCCUUAGUUCUAGACUUUGAUCUAGGUCUACCAUUCCCCUUCUUUUUCCAACUAUUACUACUUGAUUCGCCACUACUUUGGUAUCCAUCAUGACUAGCUUGCCUAAAUUGUGUUCUACCCUGCAUCAUAUGUAACUCUCCACUCCUCCUAUCCUGUUUUUCAGCCCUCAUUUCCAUUUCCUUACUCCUAAGAGAAUCUACGACAAUUUCAGGUGUUAACGUGUCCCUACCAUACUUAAUGGCAUUUUUAACUUCUUUAUAAGAGUCCGGGAUUGAAUUGAGCAAGAUAAUGGCCUUAUAGGUUUCAGACACGACUUCGUCGCAAUUGACAAUAUCUUGCACUAAUUUGUUAAAUACAUCUAAAUUGUCGUCGAGAUCCUUUGAAGGAUCCAUUUUAAAGCUGAAGAAUCGUUCGAGUAGGUAGAGUUUAUUCGGUGUAGAUUUAAGCAAGUAUAAGUCUUCUAGUCUUCUCCAAAGUUCUUUGGUGGUUUUUAGUUUUCCCACUUUUCUUAAGACAGCGUCAGAAAAGUAUAAUAUUAUUGAGGUAUAGGUAAGCUCAUCGGCUUCCUCUUUUUGUUCUUUUGAGAUAUCAGGUGCAAAAUUGCCUUCGAUGGCUUUUGACACCUUUUGUUGGACUAGUAUGCCUCUCAUCUUUUGUUGCCAGAUAGAGAAGUCCCCUUUACCAUUAAAAAUUCCCAAAUCAAAAUUAUGUGUUGUCAUUGUUAAAACGCUAAUUAAAUCACACGAAGUAGUAUUGGGAAGCGUGAUAAGGUAAUAUCUUAUUAAUUCUCAGCAAAAGUAACAGUGAACCUAAACGCUACGUCCACCAAGAAAUACCAAGCACUUUAAAUCAAAAGAACAAACACUCAAUUAAUGCAAGUAAUCCUAGUUCUAGCACAAGCAAUGGUUACCCCUUCACGGUAACCCCAAAACCUAAUGAUCACCCCACACGAUGAUCUUGAUAUUGCUGAAUUUAAAUGGAUUAAGCCAAUUUACCAGAGCAGACCUAUCUGAGUCCGUAGAGUGGAGAAAAACGAGCUUGCUGUUGAAUUUCAGUCGGCGUCGUACCAAAGGGCAAAAUCGUCCAACUUUUUCUGUGUAACCUGAAACACAAAACAAAGUAUAUCAGCGCGUUCAGGAGAUCGAAACAAGCAAGUUACCUGAAGACAGCGUCACCGGACAGUCGUCCACGCGCCGCCUCUCCGGGAGCGCCUCGACCUGCUGGUGAUGGGUAUGGCCUCCGUUUGUCCAACCGAGUUUUGUUUUGUGAGUAAUUGGAAAUUUUCAGAUUCGGGUUCUAAGGUUCAAGUCCGAAAAUCAGCCGAGUUUGAGCCAAUUUUUGCUACCCAAGCUCUGAUACCAGAUGUUAGGAUCUUCCUUAAGCUGCACAAAGUGAUUUUCGGGCUCAGUUAACCAUUAAACAUCGAAUUCAACACCAAAAUCUAAGAUGAUCGAACCGCCGGCUUCAACUCUCCUACGGUUGCUAUUUCCUCUUUUGCUUGUUGAUUCAACCACACACUUAGGAUGGAUACCACACAGGUAAGAGUCACAAAGGCUCAAGCAAUUGGUAGGGAAGACAAAUCACGAAGAAGAAGGCAGAAGAAGAAGGCGGCAGUUUCUCUUUACCUCUCGGGUUCAAUCAAAAACGGGGUGAGGAGAAGAGCUUAACCUCCAAUAUAUAUAUUAGUUAUAUGGCCAACUUAAGGUAAGUCACAAUAUGGUAAGUAGGCUCGACUAGGGUUAAGUCCCAAUGGAAAGAAACAACAAGCCACAAAGAGUAUUAGUCAUCCAAUAGGUAAAGCAACGUUUGGUCGGUUUAUCCAUUAUUCGAUGUUGAAUUAUCGUUCAGUCAUUCAUGUCGACUGAUAAAAUUGGUUUUCAUCAUCGCCCGGGAGGUCGUUUGAUAACAUGAUGUCUAACAGUUCUUAUGGCUGGGAUUUGGCUUUCAAACAAAUUUUUGUUUACAAUAAUAAAGAACUGUACUUUAUGAAUGAGAUUGUCAACAAUUCUUUUUUUAUCAUGUUUACCGCGUAUCCAUUAGGUUUAGUCCAAAGUUACCUACUGAAAAAGGGGGUAUCCUCAUCGACUGUUUUGGAUUCAACACAGAAUAAUCGGUGCGACAAGUAUGGAGUAUGUGGAGCUAAUAGCAUUUGUAGAAUCAAGACUAGUCCAAUUUGUGAGUGCUUACACGGAUUUGUUUCUAAAUCACAGAGUGAAUGGGAUGUACUUUACUGGUCCAGUGGAUGUGUGAGGAGGAUUCCAUUGAGUUGCCUGCAGGACUCCAUUAAAAUUUUAAAGCUGGGAGGCGUGCAAUUGCUAGAUCUUCUUAAGAAUUCACUAAAGAAAAGCAUGACUCUAAAAGAAUGUAGGGCAAAAUGCUUGAAGAAUUGCUCUUGCAUGGCUUAAGCAAAUUCAGAUAUUUGUGAAGGUGGUAGUGGUUGUUUCAUGUGGUUCGUGGAUCUGAUAGAUAUUCAAGAUUUUUCUGAAAGAAAAACACAAUAUAUCUAUAUACGAAUAGCUACUUCCGAACUCAGUAAGUAUAUGAAUUCAUUUUUUAUCAGACUUCAAAGAGUGCAGCUACUGUAAUCUCAGCCUGGUCUGUGUAUUCAUUCAAGUUAUCUUAGGGCAAUAUUUUUAUAUGUUGAAAUGAUGAUCAAGCAUAAUAUUGUUCUCCCAUAAUAUAUUUCACUUUGAAAAUAAGUAAUGACAACAAUAUAAUAGUGUUAAUAUAAUGUAGUUAUUGAGAUGCAUUCCUAUAAUUAAGUAUCUCUCUGAUCAUCAGAUGAUAAUUAAAAGACAAGACUGGUGCUGAUCUUGGUCAUAUCUUUAGCUUGUGGAAUGCUUAUCCUUGGCUUCUUGAUCUUACGUCUCAUCAAGAAGAGAGAAUCGAAAAGAGGUGUAUGAACUUUGCAAAUCUCAUUUAAUUAAGUUAACUGGUUUUCCUAUCAUUAUCCAACUAACUGCUGACAGCUUUUAAUAUCGACAUGAAAGAUAUAGAGCUGCCAAUGUUUGAUCUGAGUACAGUUACUAAUGCAACUGAGAACUUCUCAUUAAAAAAUAUGUUUGGAGAAGGCGGAUUUGCAAUCGCGUGCAAGGUAAGAAAAUUAAGUUUUGAAUGAUUUUAUGGUUAUUGAUAGUAAGCAGCGGCCUCAUGGCACCCUUUGAACAAUGUACAGGGUAAAUUACCAACAGGGCAAGAAAUUGCGGUUAAGAGACUCUCAACGAAUUCUGGACUAGGUCUUCAAGAGUUUAGGAGUGAAGUAAUUCUGAUUUCCAAACUUCAACACCCGAAUCUUGUCAGGCUUUUGGGAUGUUGCCUUGAAGAAGAUGAAAGGAUGCUAAUUUAAGAAUAUAUGCCUAACAAAAGCUUGGACCAUUUCAUUUUCGGUGAAUUGCCUCUCUUGAUUUCCCAUUAGAUUAAUGUUAUGGGCAUUUUCAAAUCACCAAAUUGUCCAUAUAUUAUGAAUUUGUUGUAGAUCAGCAUUGAAAAACAUUGAUUACAUGGAAAAAGCGCUUUGAGAUUGUUAUGGGCAUGGCGAGAGGACUUCUUUAACUUCACCAGGACUCUUGAUUGAGAAUCAUUCACAGAGAUCUUAAGAGUAGCAAUAUUUUACUAGAUAGUGACUUGAAUCCCAAGAUUUCUGAUUUCGGGUUGGCAAGAGCUUUUGGUGUGAUCAAACUGAAAGCAAAACAAAGCGAGUAGUUGGUGCUCAGUAAGUUCUAUAUUAACUCCCCUUCUGUGAAUUAAAAUAUGGAUUUACGGUGUCUGGAACCUAACUUGAGGUUCAUGUAGUGGCUAUAUGUCGUCGCCAGAAUACAUUGUUGACGGGAAAUUCUCGGUGAAAUCUGACGUCUUCAGUUUUGGAAUGCUUUUACUAGAGAUAGUGUGUGGCAGGAAGAAUUGGAAAUUUCGCCAUUCCGACCAUCAUCAUAAUCUUGUAGGCCACGUAAGUCACAUAAAGCAAAACUUUUCUUUGGUCCUUAUCUAAUCUUUUUGUUAAGGCAGGACCACACAAUAUUAAAAUCAAGAAAUAAGAAAACCUCAAUCGAACAGAAAUAAAUUGCAGAAAAUUAAAAGAAUACAAAGGAAUUAUUUUGGCCUAAGCCCCUGAGGUUCGGCGACCACAUUUAUCGCCUACAUCCCCCGUUGAGCAAAGAUUUGGAUUGUGCUCAGUUGCACUAAACAGCCAAAACGAGGCAAUAGAUUUACAGAUUGUUCAGAGAGAUGAAAAUAAAACUCAUCUUUCAAGUAUAGCAACAGAUCUACAGAGAUUCACUCAGAUCUCAGCCCACAACACCUUCGAAAACCACCAAAUGAUACAACAGAGAAAUCACUCAGAUUUCUUCAUCAUUCACACAGAAUACAACAAUCGAAGGAAGAUCUCACUACACUCUAUGUAAAAUCAGAGAUUUUACGCAAGUAUAAAAAUGGAUUGUUUAGUCCGCCCAUUUUACUAUUUGCCUUGAUGUCACCUUUGGUGUGGGAGGUAUAGAAAAUAUUUUUUGGCCAGCAGCAAAGUUUUUACCAUCGAAGUUCUUCCCAUUGUCUCUUUGUCCUUUACAAGGAGUCGAUGAUAGAAGGCAAUUUUUGGGAUGCUUGCUGGCCACAUUGCUUGCUGAGAGUGCUUCUCAGUUUGCUUGCUGGGAGUGCUUCUCAGCCUUUUUGCCCGCCAUUGCAGCGAUGCAUUUAGGAAGGUGGUAAGGCCAGUCCACCCUCUUAUUCGGCAAUCCCACCAUUGCAGCGAUGCAUUUAGGAAGGCGGUGUGAGGCUAGUCCACCCUCUUACUCAGCGAUAAACCGGGAGAUUAGCUUACUUUUGAUUGUAGUUUGUAGAGCAUCCAUUAUUUGUAUUUUCGCAUCUUUGUAACGAACGUUUGAUAAUAAAGGACUUUAUUUGAACGUAUAUCGCUCUGACCUUGUUAUCCUUAAUCGUUCAACAUAUUUUGAUUAUGCUUUUAUCUGUUCACAUUCCCACAAAGAAGGAACAUAUUUUUUCAAAUAUUUGCCGUUAAUGAAUCUCACGUGCUUGGUGCCAUCUAAAUCUUCCAAGUGAUACGCUCCAUUGGGCAAUACACUGUUUAUUUUGUAUGGUCCUUCCCAAUUGGGCGACCACUUCCCGUACUUUGGGUCCUUGCUAUCCAAAGAGAGUAUCGUCUUCCAAACUAGUUCACCCAGACUGAACGACUUGGCUAUGACUUUUUUAUUAUAAAACUUAGCCAUUCUUUGUUUUUGAACUUGCAAUCUAUCUAAGACGUCCAACUUUAAUUCGUCUAACCCCAAUAAAUUUUGAACUAGUGAUUCGGCAUACUCAUCAUCAUUCAACUUAUGUUGCAAACACACUCUAAUCGAUUGCACGUUGAUUUCCAUAGGCAAAACGGCCUCCUGUCCAUAAACAAGUUGGAAAUGAGUAACUUUGGUACUUGAUCGAGGUGAUGUUCUAUAAGCCCAUAAGGCCUUGUUUAGACAUUCGUGCCAAUUUCUGGCAUUUUCAUCUAUCAUCUUUCUGAUGAUAUUUUUUAGAAUCUUAUUAGAAGAUUCCGCUUGCUCGUUGGAUUGAGCGUAGUAUGGUGUGGAGUUUACUAAUUUAACCCCAAACUCGCUCAAAAAUUGGUUCACUUGAUCCCCAUUCAAAGAUGUUCCGUGAUCUAUCAUCAACGUUUGUGAAAUUCCAAACCUAUAAAUGAUGUGAUCACGGAUAAAUUCUAUAAUGUUCUUCUGGGUGAUCUCUUUCAAAGGUAUCGCUUCUACCCAUUUGGUGAAAUAGUCGGUUGCAACUAUAACAAAAGUAUGUUGCUUGGACGAUGGGGGAUAAAUUUUCCUUAUCAGGUCUAUUGCCCAACCCUUGAACGGCCAAUGUUUAAUAAUAGGUGCCAUCUCUCGUGCUGGCGCCCUUUGUAUUGGACCAUGCUUUUGGCAUGCUAAACAACUCUUUGCAUAUUGAACGCAUAGUUCUCCCAUCUUUGGCCAGAAAUAUCCACUCCUAAUAAUUAACCAUCUCAUCCUUUGGCCAGUUUGAUGAGAUCCACAUAUCCCUUCGUGCACCUCAGCCAUGAUUGUCUUGACUUCUUGCAAACUUACACACUUCAGUAAUACACCAUCAGAGCGUUUCUUAAACAACUCUUCAUCUAUUAGUGUAUAGUUCAGCAAACACAGCUUCAUUCUCCUACUAAUCCCUCCAUUAGGCUCCUUAAGGAACCUUUUAAUAUCUAUUCUCCAAUCCAUUGCAUCUCCAUCUUGUAUGUAGUGAAGUUCAAUCUUUCUCGUCCUUCUUUGAGUCACGGGUAAUAUGAUUCCAUACUCACAAGUAGACUUCCAAUUCAAAACCUUUGAGUAUCCUGAGGCCAUUUGGGCUAACUCAUUUGCCACGUCAUUAUAUAUCCUAUUAACGCAUUGAAGUUCUACUUGGUCGAAUUCUUCCAACAAUUCUUGGGCGAUCUCAUAUUGACUUAUAAUGGAAUCACUUUGGCAUUUAAAAUCACCAAUCAAUUGGUGGAUUACCAAUUGAGAAUCGCCCCUAACAAUCACAUUUCUUACUCCCAUAUCUAUCAUUAGUUCUAGGCCUACAAUUAAGGCUUCAUAUUCGGUCUGAUUGUUGGUGCACAUUCUGUCUAAAGUGAAUGCGAAUUUGUAGCAAAUCCCUAAAGGAUUAAUCAAUGCUACUCCUACUCGUGCACCUUUAGAGGUUUUUGAUCCAUCGAAACACAAUACCCAAGGUUUUAGCUCGAACGAAUUGAUUUCUAGUUCAAUUUCUUCAGGCAUGUCAAGGCAUGGAUGAUCGGCUAGAAAGUUAGCCAAAGCCUGAUUUUUGACUGCUUUUUGAGGUACAUAAAGCUAGUGUCAAAGGCCUACCCUUUGGUGUAAAAUAGGGCACGAGAACAUGUACUUGACUAAAUUUACUUUAGAAAUUAAAUAAACGGUUACGGGCCGUAAAUAAGUUCUUAAUUUUGUACAUGUGAAAUACAAUGCCAGACAUAAUUUUUCGAUAGCAGAGUAAUUACAUUCACAUUUUGUUAACCGUCUACUUAAGUAGUAAAUUGCCCUUUUUUCACCAAAUUGGUCUUCCUGUACGACCAUUCCAGCUAUUGAUUCUUUUUCAGCCGAUACAUACACUUUCAUUGGCCGUCCUUGGAUUGGUGACACCAACACUGGUGGACUUGAUAAAUAUAUCUUCAAGCUUUCAAAAGCCUUUUGAUGUUCUUCUUUCCAGACGAAUUCGUCCUAAUUUUUCAGCUUUAAGAGCGACGAAAAGACUUUAGUUCGCCUUGCACAGUUAGAAAUAAAGCGUCUUAAAAAGUUUACUUGGCCUAGAAACCUUUGCAAUUCUUUUUUGUUGCUAGGUGGUUUGGUCUCUAAAAUGGCAUUCGCUUUAUUUUUAUCAAGUUCAAUCCCUCUCUUGUGUGCUAAGAAACCAAGAAAAUUCCCUGCAUUAACACCAAAUGCACACUUCAAGGGAUUCAACUUUAGUUUAUAUUGCUUCAUUCGCUCAAACGAAUAUCUUAACUGUUCGAAAUGGUCCUCUUCUUUAAUGGACUUGACUACUAUGUCAUCUACAUACACUUCAACAAAAUUGCCUAUCAUAUCAUGAAAGAUUAAAUUCAUUGCCCUUUGAUAAGUUGCCCCUGCAUUUUUUAGGCCGAAAGGCAUAACUACCCAUUCAAAACAUCCUAGAGACCCAGGGCAUCUAAAGCCAGUUUUGUGUAUAUCUUCUUCAGCUAUAUAAAUUUGAUUGUAUCCUGAAUACUCAUCCAUGAAAGAAUACAUGACAUGUCCGGCAAUCGAGUCUACUAAAGAAUCCACCGUGGGCAUUGGAUAUUCAUCUUUGGGUGUAGCUAUGUUUAAAUUCCUAAAGUCUAUACACACCCUUAGUUUACCAUUCUUUUUUAGUACUGGCACGAUAUUGGACAACCAUUCGACAUAUCUGGCUGUUCUAAUAAAACCUGCUUUCAAUAAUCGCUCUAUCUCUUCCUUGAUUUCAAGGAGUACAUUGGGAGCAAAACGUCUAGGAGGUUGCCUAUGAGGUUUAAAGAUAGGCUUAGUUGGUAACCUAUGUUCCACCAAGUCUCUAUCUAAACUAGGCAUUUGUUCAUAUUCCCAAGCAAAACAAUCUUUGUACUCUUUUAGCAAAGCGAUUAAUUUAUUACGAACCUCUUGAUCGAGCAUCUGGCUGAUGAAUGUUGGACGAUCUUCUCCUUCAUUGCCAAUAUUUACUUUGAUCAGAGGUUCUUGUGCUUGAGCGUAUCCAGGUUUGACGAUCCGCAUCACUUCCUCAUCCAGUUCCCUUGUAAGUACUUCCUCUUCUAAACAGUCCACCUUGUUGACUUCUCGGCCAAUGCUUUGUUCUAACUCGAAUACUGCCAAUUUGUCCUUCAGCGCUUUUAGGGCUGUCUCUUCUUUUGCCUUGUCAUUGCAUUCCUUAUUGAAAGCCAUCAGUCUGGCUUUGAAGGCCUGAAUGUCGGCCAUUUGCUUUUGUAACUUAGAAUCCAUUCAAGACUCCUUGAUUAUUCUUUUGCUAAUUAUUGGCUCUUCUAGGGCCACUAUAUUUGACCUCAUCUGUUUGAACAUUUCAGUGAGUGCGUUCACUGAGAAUGGUUCUUCGCUUUGCGCGACAACUUGAGUUUCUUCUCCGUCUUGCACUACCCUGACAGGUCCAUAGUUUCCUUCGUACAUGAACUUUUCCAUCGAGUUUGCUUCUGCGACAAAAGGCCUAUGAUUGGCCUGUACCACCUCUGCUUCACCUUUGUUAUUCCAAAAGAUCAGGCAUUGAUGGAGCGAUGAGGGUAUACAAUGACUUCCGUGUAUCCAAUCUCUUCCUAGUAGCACAUUAUAACUAGUAGGACCAUCUAUUACAAAGAAGACAGUGGUUCUAGUAGUCGUCCCUAUAGUUAUGUCCAAUGGCAUAACUCCCUUAACUGAAGUUGUUCCCCCAUUAAAACUCGUAAAGAUGACUUCUGUAGGAAUCAUGUCACCUCUGUCUUUGUGAACUUCCUCAUCAUCCUAGAUGGAAUGGUGUUUAUAGCUGCUCUAUUGUCGACAAACACUUUUGCCACUGGGAUGCCUUUAACUAGAGUUUUAACGUACAACGGCCUCAAGUGUUUAGUCAAUUUCAUGGCUGGCCGUUUAAAAAUAACAUUUUCGACAGCCUCUAUUUCUACUUCCUGCUUGUUUUCUAUCGAAUUAUCCCCCUGUGAUAAGUCGACGUGCAGUAUAUCGCACUAAUCCUCUGUCUCCUAAACUUCCUUCUUACUUUUUUCUAAUGCUUCCUCAUCAGUUACCCAACCUGUGGGAGGGGGCAUUAUUCUUGGAGGUGACCCAUACUUUUCAGAGUGAGGCACUCUCUUCUUCCUUUUGGGUGUCCCGUAUAGUACGUAGAAAUCGAAAGGAUGACCAUAUGGUUCUCCCAACAAGUCCACUUCGUGAACUCCCUCUCAAUGUAGUUGCUUCAACAGAGUAUUGCGCGAUACUCCUCUCUUUCUUUUCUCUGCUUCUAGGUUGAUUUCUUCUUCAAUGCCUGUCAUCCCGCCGUCCUCUUCAUCGUUGUAGGCCUCUCUAGAAGUCUGACCUUCUUCACAUACCAGCACGCAAGCUUCUCCUUCGUUGUCCUCCCUCUCUUCUUCUUUUUCUUUAUUCUUGAAUUCAUUGGCCAGUAAGUAAUUAUUGGCCACGAUAGGAGGCAACGUACUGAAUUGGAUAGUAAGGGGCUGAUAUGGAUCUUCUCCAUCCCUUCUGUCCCGCUCAAACUUUGAUCUCCCAGAAGAAGUUUCUGGCAUUUCCUUCAUUGAUUCAUCUGUACCGGUCUCUUCACUAUCUUUGAGGAUAUUUUGAUUGGCUACUUUGAGUAGUUUAGGCGCUUUAGGAUGUGGCACUCCUUGUUGCUGCCUCAUCAUCCGUCCAUAAUUUCGUUGGAAACACCUUUGUUGGGUUCUAGUCAUCUCAUCGAAGGGUAUUGCCCUUCCUGCAUUAUACUAGAAUGAAUGCCAUACAUUUGGCCGACAAGGUUGCGGCCUGAAUGUUCUUCCAUUAUCUGUUGGCCUGAACUGCCUCUCAAAAGGCGAUCCUCUAUAGAAUGAUGUACCUCGCCCUCUACCAGGCUGAGUGUUUGGGAAGAAGGUAGGGCGAUGGGGAUGCUGCCAUAUACCUGGUUUCUCCAUAUUGCCAUCCAUUUCUCUUUUACAUCUUGUACACAGGACGCCUUCGUCCUUUUUUGGAUCUUUCCUCUAGAUUCGUUCAAAGACACUGGGAUGUGGUCUAGGAUCCUCUUCUCCAUCAUCUACGACGAACUUGAAUUUUGGCAAGUUGUUUUUGAAUCCAGACGUCACCAUGUUCACUCCAAGUGUCUGUGGAAAAGGAUUUUCAUCCACUGCCAUCUUCUUCUUAUCAUCGAACGUAAUUCGUCCUGAUUCAAUGACAUCCUGCAAUACAUGGCGAAAAACCAAGCAAUUGUUAGUCAAAUGUGACCAUGCAUUAUGCCAAUUACAAUAUUUUUUACCCUUAAUUUGUUCAGGGUUUGGCAAUUUGUGCUUAUCGCUCAACUUUAUUUGCUUAUCCCUAUAUAAUUUAUCAAAUAUAAGGUCAGCCAUGGUUACAUCGAACGAGAACGUUCUAGCCUUUAUGUUUCCAUCUUUUAUGGGCUCAUCUUUGCUCGAUGGUCUAGGCUUGGCCAUUAUGGGACAAGUAUACGUAUCUCUUUUGACCAAUUCGGUCAAACACAUUUCGGCCUGGUCGUAUGACUCGUCACUGAUGGUAUGAACAUCAAAAUUUGGGUAUUUGUAAUAAGUCCCUUUACUAGAAUUUUUCAUCUGUUCUUCAUCUCUUAUCAGUCGUUCAUACCUAAUCACAUUCGCACUCAACUGGAAAAGGUCAGGAAAUUCCUUGUCCUGGAAUUUCUUUUUUAAAUCAAAGCUCAAGCAACCCUGAGCGAUUUUGACAAAUUCUUUUUCGGGCAGAGGAACAAAACACUUGCUUCUUGCUGUCUUGAACCUUUGGAGAAAACCUUCUACCCAUUCGUUUGGCAUUUGACGUAGAUUUGUCAAAUCGGCCAAAGUGACUUCAGACUCAGUUUUGUAAAACUGAGCAUGAAAUAACUGUUCCAAUUGUUGCCAUGUUUGAACAGAGUUCAUUGGCAAGUUGAUGAACCAGGAGAAAGCUACUCCUGUUAACGAACUAGGGAAAAGCCUCAUUUUAUGGUAAUCGGUUACAUCACCAUUUUGCAAUGUGAAUCGCCCUACGUGUUCUAGAGUAGACGUCUCUCCUAAAUCGGUAAACAGCGAGAAUUCUGGCACUUUGUACCCUCUAGGCCAUGGAUAUGCUUGGUCUACCCAAUCAGGAUAUGGCUUUAUGUACGUCGGCCUAAUGACGGGAUGCACCCCAAAAGCCAUCUGAUCCUGUACGAUUUCCAUAAUCUGAUUCCUCAACAUGACGAUGGGAUCAUUGGAAUUCCUACAGGCUGAUUAAUCGGUUGAUUUGCAUGAGGCCUGAUGUUUGGUCCUUGAUUGGCAACAAAAUUACCAUAAUUAGGGCCAUUACCAUUAGCCUGAACAUCUAUUCCCUCAUUAACACGUGGGCUGUGCUGUCCAUUGUUUAGGACAUUAUCUCUUAUGUUUGGACUACCUCCCAAGUUAGGCGUACCACUACCAUUGUUCUGAUUUGGCACUGCAGUACCCCCUUGGUUUAAAGUAGAGGGACCAAAAAGUGGUUCUAUCCCUUGAUUCAGAUUUAGGACUGAGGGAUUAUAUCCCACAAUUGUCCUAGUUUGAAAGUGAUUUGCAAGAGGUAUAGCCGGUUGACAUAUUUGGCCUACUAACUUAUUCAUUGUUUCGUUCAAAGUAUUUAGUUGUUUGGCCAUAUUGUCAUAGCGUGCAUUCCCAUUUUGGGUAAAUCUUUCCAUAUUAUGAAUAGUUCGAAGAUUUACCUGUUCAACAACGUCUUGUGUGAGUUCUCCAAGUAAUGCACGCAUGGUUCGAGGACUCAACUCCGUCAUUGGUUCGUAACGACUGUUACUGCUCUGAUUCUGUCCAUCUGUUCGUGGAGAGGCACGCUGCUCCUCAUAUCGCUCGAUCACAGAUUGGAUUCAUCCCUGACUUGCUGCUUCCUUAUCGGAUCUCUGAGGCAUAUUGUUUCACCUUUUGUACUUUCAACACCAAACACCACUGUCCCACUGGGCAUGCCAAAUUGUUUCGCGCGGGUUAGUCGCUAACAAUUAAAAGGGAUCAGACGAUUGUGUAAGGGACAAACCUCUUGGGACAAAGUCCCAAAAAGGGGUGUUCUUUUAUUGGCGAUGACUUUACAAUUGGAAAUCGAAAACAAAGUGCCUCCAAGGGGCGCAAGCACACGAGUUACUGAAAAAAGUGUUUAAGUCUAUGCUAAGGAAAUUAAAAUUACAUGUUCUCUGUUCGAGAGUUUUUGAUUCGGUCCCUUUUCUCUAUGUCUUUUCUCCCUUUUAUACUUCAUGGACGAUCUCUUUGUGAUCAACCGCCUAAAAACUGCUUGAUCGUUCUGCAACUGCCCACUUUCCUCAUAAUGGCCAGCUUGUCAUGAAAACUGCCUUAUUUAACUGCUGCCAUUACUCUUCGUCGUUCAACCGUUUUCGAUUGAAUUCCUUGAAUCGUGGAACGUGAUGGGGCUACUUUAAUAACUGCUUUGAUAACUGCACUUCUUGAUAACCACAACGCUUUAUGUUUGUUAAGACCUUGGGCGACUUGAAGGUUUUGGCGAGAAUAGAGUAAUAGCUCUGGCCGACUGCACGGCACUCCAUUCGCUCAGAUUCUGGACGACUUGUAAUCUUGGGCGAUGGCGUUACCACGUUCUUGGGCCUCCCUAUUUGGGCCUUCAUCUUGAAUUGUUAGACUGGGCUUCGUUCUUUGGGCUAUCUGAUUUGGGAAUUCUCCAAUUGGGCUUCAUUCCUUGGGCCGUUAGAUUUGGGUUGAAUUUUUAUGUGUCGACAAUUACCCCCAAUAUGGCAGAAUUAAUAAUAAUUAUUAAAUUUUGCCAUAUUCACUUUGUGUUUCCAGCAACAUUCGAGAUUUUCAAGAAUUUCAAUCAUUGUUUUCUUCCAUAACUUGAAAAGGUGCGUCGUUUUGCAAACCCUUAUAACUCCUAAACACGCCAUUUCACUGCACCACUAAAUCACGCCUCAAAUUUUUUCGCGUCUCUCCCACGAUUUACUGUUCAUCUUUUGCUUCCCUACUACGUAACCCUGAAAAACUUCGUUCCAUCUCAAAUGGCUACUUCACAAUCUCAAGCUGGCGACUCCUUUAGUUUUGAUGACUUUCAGAAACUUCUGAGUCGUCCAUACAUAACUCCGAGUUUUCUCGCGCCCGUCGAUGUUGAAUGGAAUGAGUUCUACUUAGGCCCUUUCUUCAAUAAUGCAGAGGCAGUUGAACAGGCGGCGGUGGGUCAGCUGUUUCCCUGUACUCAAGGCCCUCCAUUUCUAAACUCUCUGCCGCUGGGGCCACUUCGCGAAAGAGGUAUUCGCACUUGCCCCCAGGAAGCGAACAAGUCUUGGAUAGAACGCACAAUCUUGUCAGCAUCCUGCAAAGAAAAUUGCCAAUAUUAAAGAUUUUCACUACAACGAAGAAGAUAGAAAUAAAAGUGAAGCAAAGAUUACCUCAUCAACAAUCGUGGAAGAUGGCAUGUCCUCAGCCAAGUCUGCCACCAAUCACUCCUCCAUUCGUAAGGACUUCCCCUUAUUUGAGCGAGAAGAUGUUGCCACAACGGGCAGACUCAUAGAAGUAUCUGCAAAACUCAAGAGCAACAAAUCAGAAAACAAUAGCACAAGCAAAGGUAAGGCAUCAAAAAACUGAAUUACCUUCUACCUCGAUGUUUGGGGGGUUAACGUCCUAAGAAGAAGGUGGCUCAUCCAUGGGUUGUGAUGAGAAUUCUGGGACUGAAGAUGUCUCUUUAAGCGUAGUCCCCUCAUCAACCGGUUUGGAUGAAGCAGCCUCAGCGGAGGAUGAUGCAGCAAGAGCUGUCGAUGCCAAAGCCUCUGAAAGAGAGGCUGAACUUUUUUGAGAAAUCCAAAAAAUCAUCAGCACACAAAAAAGAAUGAAAAAAUGUCCCUUCUGAACAUAUUUACAGGAGCCAAGGGCUCCAUGGCUAGCCCAUAACAGCUAGCAGAGGAGCGAGAGAUUGAUGGAGCACUAAGCAAUGAAAAAUAGGAUUUCAACCACAGUUGAGUGAACCAAAGAGGUCCACUGCCAAUGGGAGAUGCACCAUUCUUCAAUUGAGUUUGAAGAGAGGCCAUGCCUCUAUAAAGGGUAGCCAAAAAGAAAGAACAUAAAUUCAAAGGCCUGCCACGCGCCAAUUCGUGCGCUAUAGGUAAAUAACUAAGGGAGGGCUUUAUGCUUGGCACACACAAAACAUAUUUACAAAGCCAAACUAGAAGAAAGGCCACUUGCUCAGUAUGGGAAGGCUCAGCGCUCGAAUGAUUGUGAAGGGUUUGCAGGCUUGAAUAAGAUUCGGUGUAGUUUUUACCAAACUUUGGGGCACCACCAGAAACCAAGAUACCCGGAAAAAUGGUAUCGCCCAAAGGUGGUAGAUUCACCAAGGCCCCAACAUCCCUUAAAGUAAUAGACAUGGGGCCAAGAAGGAAAAUAAAGUUAUUAUACUCGGAAGACCAAAAACUCAAAGUAAUCGAAAAGAGUGCUGAAUCAAAAGUAGGGGGACGAAUAGAGAUUUCUAACAAAUCAGAAAUCCUAGCGCUAUCAAAAAGUGCCUUAGUAGGGCCAUGACCGACAAGACGAGCAUGCCACCUACGAAAAGCUACAUCAGAUUUAGGCCAAGUGCGAAUACCUCUUUCGCGAAGUGGCCCCAGCUGUAAUACUCCGAAAUUUUAUGCUCGUCUAAAUUUGCGUAGGAUAGUGAUUUAACUUUCAAUAUUCUUUUUGGGCAUAAGGAAAAAGGGACACCACCUUUGUAGUAGUUAAUGUUAGAGGUAGUUAAUGAAUGUAGGCAUGAAGUAUCAAAGGUUGUGUAUGUAUGAAGUGAUUAUUAAUUAGUCGAAACUUAAGGCAAGUUUGGAUUUGAAUAAAGUGGAUUAUUUUGUUAGGACUUCAAUUGACCAAAUGAUUAAAUUAUGUUACAAUCUACAAUUUUUGAAUAUGUAAGUUGGUUACAAGUUUAAAUUUGGGGUACACUUUGUUAACAAUGAAAGUUAGAGGGUUUAGAUUAUAUUAGUUGAAAAGAUAAGAGGCUUCCUUUGUAAAUCUAGGUUUUAAGGCCACUUAUUACCCUAUAGUCAACCCACUUGUCCUCCAUCAUCACCAUACACUUAGAUAAUAGACUAAACAUGUGUACAAGCAAGGAAAAAAAAAGUUGGGAGAAAAGGGGGUGAGGCGGUGGGAAGAGAAAAGAAGAAAAAAAAAAUAUAUAUCAAUCCUUAUCCUUAUCUUUAUAUAUAUAUAAAUAUAUCCAUAUCCAUUGCCAUAGAGAGAUUUCCUUCAUUUUACAAAACACUUAUACACUUAAAAAGAGAGCAAAAACCGAAAUUAAGAAAAGAAAGGAGAAGGAAGUAAGUUUAGCAUUUCCAAUUCAUUUCAAUCGAAGAUCUUCAAGUUUUACGGUAAAAUACCUUCCAUGCUUAAGAGUUAUGAUUUUCAUGGUAAUAUUUAUGCUUAAACUAAACCAUAAUAUGAUUAUGGUGGACAAGUCCGAAGGGCACCGGCAAGCCGGAAUGUGCAAGUAUGGGUUUGAUUGCAUUCUUUUGUGUAGUAUUAUCAUGAUAAAAAUCCAAGCAUGGUAUCUUACUGAGUAUUUCUUAUACUCAUAGUAUGUUAUGCUAAAUUUUCAGAUCCAUGAUCGUUGGAUUGAUGAAAGUUAGUUGGCGAAUUCGAUGAUGGAUUAAGGACAAGGAUGUUUUGAACCGAAAGUUUUCUUUUGUAUGUUUUGCUCGAUGACUGUUGUUCCAUCUAUAUUUCUUAUGGUAUUAUGUAAAAAUAUGUACAUGACAUGAUGAAAUAUGGUAUUAAUAGUAAAUUUUGUGAUUAUAUCUUUCAUGUUAUGUUAAGAGACAUUUUUGUAGUUUAUAUUCCUUACAAGUGACAAAAGGCAGAAACGAGACAGUUUCUGGAGUCAAUUUCAAAAUGAUGUUUCUAACUCUAUAAACUUCCAUUUGAGAUUCUAAAAAUAUUUCUGUUUUCCUCUUUGAUUUUUCUAAAUAUGGCCGAAGGAAUCACUCAAUUUGGAUAUCUAUGACCGGAGUUAUCAAGGUUUUAACGUCAAGGGGUCAAUCUGGAUUUUCUGUGCAACACUUCACUGUUUUCAGUAAAACUUCUAUAUCAUAUGAUCUUGGAAAAUUUUCAUAUUUUAACCUAGAAAAAUACUUGAAAUUAUCUUUCUAAUGCCACAAAUUUCAUGUAAAACGGAGUUGGGGUGAAUUUUAUAAAAAUUGUCAAACUUGCUGCCCCAACUAAUCGUAAUAGUGUCGAGGCCGUAUAUGUAAUAUAUAAUUUCAUGUUGACAUGCACUUUUAUCGGCCAUCAAACUUUAUAAGAAUUGUUUUAUCAAAUUGAAAAAUAAGUUUCUAACAUGUAAUACUUCUAUUUAAGAGUAUUUACAUGUACCAAAGACUGAAGUUAUUAUGUUUAGUACGUGACCCUCGAAGUUUAAGCUCGGGGCGUCACACCAGCGGCAGAAAAUUUAGAAAUGGAGGGCCUUGAGUACAAGGAAACAGCUGACCCACCGCCACCUGUUCAACUGCCUCUGCAUUGUUGAAGAAAGGACCUAAGUAAAACUCAUUGCGUUCAACAUCGACGGGCGCGAGAAAACUCGAAAUUAUGUAUGGACGACUCAGAAGUUUCUGAAAGUCAUCAAAACUAAAGGAGUCGCCAGCUUGAGAUUGUGAAGUAGCCAUUUGAGAUGGAACGAAGUUUUUCAGGGUUACGUAGUAGGGAAGCAAAAGAUGAAUAGUAAAUCAUGGGAGAGACGCGAAAAAUUUGAGGCGUGAUUUAGUGGUGCAGUGAAAUGGCGUGUUUGGGGGUUACAAGGGUUUGCAAAACGACGAACCUUUUCAAGUUAUGGAAGAAAACAAUGAUUGAAAUUCUUGAAAAUCUCGAAUGUUGCUGGAAACACAAAGUGAAUAUGGCAAAAUUUAAUAAUUAUUAUUAAUUCUGCCAUAUUGGGGGGUAAUUGUCGACACAUAAAAAUUCAGCCCAAAUCGAACGGCCCAAGGAAUGAAGCCCAAUUGGAGAAUCCCCAAAUCAGAUAGCCCAAAGAACGAAGCCCAAUCAAACAAUUCAAGAUGAAGGCCCAAAUAGGGAGGCCCAAGAACAUGGUAAUGCCAUCGCCCAAGAUUGCAAGUCGCCCAGAAUCUGAGCAAAUGGAGUGCCGUGCCGUCGCCCAGAGCUAUUACUCUAUUCUCGCCAAAACCUUCAAGUCGCCCAAAGUCUUAACAAACAUAAAGCGUUGUGGUUAUCAAGAAGUGCAGUUAUCAAAUCAGUUAUUAAAGCAGCCCCAUCACGUUCCACGAUUCAAGGAACUCAAUCGAAAACGGUUGAAUGACGAAGAGUAAUGGCAGCAGUUAAAUAAGGCAGUUUUCAUGACAAGCUGGCCAUUAUGAGGAAAGUGGGUAGUUGCAGAACGAUCAAACAGUUUUUAAGUGGUUGAUCACAAAGAGAUUGUCCAUGAAGUAUAAAAGGGAGAAAAGACAUAGAGCAAAGGACGGAAUCAAAAACUCUCGAACAGAGAACAUGUAAUUUUAAUUUCCUUAGCUUAGACUUAAACAUUUUUUUCAGUAACUCGUGUGCUUGCGCCCCUUGGAGGCACUUUGUUUUCGAUUUCCAAUUGUAAAGUCAUCGCCAAUAAAAUAACACCCCUUUUUGGGACUUUGUCUCAAGAGGUUUGUCCCUUACACAAUCGUCUGAUCCCUUUUAAUUGUUAGCGACUAACCUGCGCGAAACAGGAACACAAACUCAAAUCGCCAAUACUUUUCUCUCUGAAAACCUUAGAGUCAAGAGAAAAAUGAAGGGUUGGUUUUGACGUUCCAGAAGGCUCCAGCCUUUUAUCAAAAGACAUGAAACGGUUUAAUCCAACGUCCAGAAAUAGUCCACGUAUUGGCCAUCUAGUAAAGUAUCAAUACUUAUUAAGUCGUGUUUAAUAAAAAACACGGUUUCAUCACAAAUCAAAUUAUGGAAGCACUAAAUAGGAUAACAGAGUUCGACUCCAACAAUCUCCACCUUGCUGCCAGAUUUUGAGCUAUUAGUGCAGCUAGGAGCAUAAUCUUACGUUUUUUUUUCAUUUGCUCCAAGUACCUGUAUAAGAAUCACAAAAAAUCUACAGAUAAAAGUUUUAAGCAGUUUAAGAAUUUGUUUAAAAGAAUUACUUUUGUACCCAUAUCAGAUGAAUUGAACUAAGUAGGAACUUUUUCAAUCUUAAUUUCACCUUUUGAGAUUAUAUCUCUUAUAAAAUGGUAUUUAACAUCAAUAUGUUUUGACCUAUCAUUGAACAUGGGAUUUUUACUUAGGUGAAUAGUACUUUGGUUAUCAGAAAACAGUACAAUGUGGUUAUCAUUGAAACCCAUUUCAGACAAUAAACCAUUUAACCAUAUUCCUUCUUUAACAGCAUUAGUUGCAGCUAUAUAUUCUGCCUCAGUUGAGGACAAGGCCACAACUUUCUGGAGUUGAGAUUUCCAACUGAUAGUAGUACCACACAGUGUAUAAAAGUAAGAUGAAGUUGACUUUCUAUUAUCUCUAUUUCCAGCAAAAUUAGAAUCAGUAUACCCUUUUAAACUUAUUCCAUUUUUAUCUGAUUGAAACAUUAAGCCUAAAUUUAAUGAUCCCUUAAGAUAUUUCAAUAACCAUUUUAAGGCAUACCAAUGUUCUUCACCAAGGUUACUCAUAAACCUACUUAACAUGCUAAUACUAGAUGUAAGAUCAGAUCUGGUGCAUAUCAUCAAAUACAUCACAGAACCAAUUACAUUAGCAUACUGAAUUUUUUACAUUCUGGCAUAUUCAUCUUCAGAUUUAGGACAAAAUUCAAAAGACAGUCUAAAAUGACUAACAAGAGGCAGUGUUACAGUCUUACAAUCAUGCAUGUUGAAUUUUUUCAAGAUUUUAGACACAUAGUCACAUUGAUUUAAAAACAACAUAUUUUUAUCCUUGUUUCUCCAAAUUUGCAUGCCCAAUAUUCUUUUAGUAGUACCAAGGUCUUUCAUAUCAAACUCAGAAUUUAACUUUGAUUUAAUAUCAUCAAUUUUUGAUUUAUCAGAACUAGCCAACAACAUAUAUCCACAUAAAGGAUCAGAUAUAAUAAGUUUUCAACUCCACUACCUUUGCAGUACAAGCAAGUAUCAUAUUGGCUUCUUUUAAAUCCAAGUUUCAAGACAAAAGUGUCAAAUCUUUUGUACCACUGCCUAGGUGCCUGCUUUAGGCCAUACAAGGAUUUCUUUAACAAACAAACAGUGUUUUCAGGAUCACCUUCCUCAAAACCAAUUGGUGGUCUCAUGUAUAUUAUUUCAUCUAAUUCUCCAUACAGAAAAGCAGUUUUAACAUCUAGUUGAUCAAGUUCCCAUUUAAAUUGUGUAACAAGUGCAUGUAGACAUCUGAUAGUAACCUACUUAGCAACAGGAGAAAAAAUUUCAAUAUAGUCCACACCUUCUUUUUAUGUAAAACUCUUUGCUACAAGUCUAGCUUUAUAUCUAAUGUUUUUAUCAUCACUUUCUCCAGUUUUUAUUUUAUAAAUCCACUUGCAAUCAAUUAAUUUUUGUCCUUUGGGCUUAUCAACUAAUAUCCAUGUCUUAUUUUUAAGAAGUGAAGACAUUUCAUCUUCCAUGGCCAUCUUCAAAUUUUUUCUUUCUUUACAUUUCAUGGCUUCUUCAAAGGUGUUUGGCUCAUUUCAGUAAGGUCUUGGUAGGUAAAUAAGGAUACAAAGGUGUCAUUAUCAAAUCUAGUAGAGGGUCUGAUUUGCCUUCUCUCCCUAUCUCUUGUGAGUUGAUACUCAUCAAAGGGGAGAGUUGCAGAAUCAGCCUCUUCAACAUGUUCAGUUUCAGGUAAAAUUACAUGUUCUUCAUUUUCAUUUUCUUCUGCAGUAGUUACAGAAAUGUUCUGGUAACUGGAAGAAGGUUCCGCCUCAAUUUGAACAUCUUUUUCAGUCAAAGUACUUUCUUUUCCUUCAAGACAUGGCAUCAAAGAUUCAUUGAAGACUACAUCCUUUCUAAUUAUUACUCUAUAACAUUUUUCAGAUUUAACCCAUAAUCUGUACCUUUUAACAUGUUCAUCAUAACCCAAGAAAACACACUUUAAUGAUCUUGGUUCUAGUUUACCUACAUUUUGAUGAGCAUAGGCAGCACAGCCGAAUAUUUUCAGAUAAGAGUAGUUUACAGGACUAUUUGACCACACAUUUUCCGGGUAAGAAAAGUUUAGUGCACUAGUAGGACUUCUAUUAAUCAAAUAAGCUGCAAUUUUAACUGCUUUACCCCAAAAUAUUUUAGGCAGUCCAGAACUUAAUAACAUGCAUCUAACUUUAUUCAACACAGUUCUAUUCAUUGUUUCAGCCAUUCCAUUUUGUUGUGGUGUGUGCGGAACAGUUUUGUGUCUCAUGACGCCAUACUCCUUACAGAGAUUAUCAAAUUCAGAAUUGCAAAAUUCCAAGCCAUUAUCAGUUCUUAAAUAUUUUAUUUUAAGAUCAACCUGAUUUUCAACUUGAAUUUUCCAGUCCUUAAAAGAAAAAAAUGUCUCAUCUUUAGACUUUAGUAGAUGAACCCAAACUUUUCUUGAGAAGUCAUUAACUAUUAGUAAAAAAUAUUUAAAACCAGUUAAAGUAGAGACAGAAGCAGGACCCCCUAGAUCAGCAUGAAAAUACUUAAAUCUUUGUUUUGACUUAUGAAUUCCACUUUGAAAAGGAAGUCUGGCUUGCUUUUCCAAAAUACAGUGUUCACAGGAGUCAAAGUCACCAAGAUUAUGUUUUCCAAAAACACUUUUUGAUUGCAAAAUGUUUAAACCCUUUUUACCAAUAUAACCAAGCCUUUCAUACUACAGUUUUGCAAAAUUAAAAUUUUCAGAUACAAGAGAAGCAGUUAAUUCAAGCAAAGGUUUUGCAUUCAGACAGUAAAGACCAUGUCUCUUAGGGGCUGAAGUGACCAAGUCAUUUCCCCUAAAAAAUUUUAUAUGUCCUUGACCCAUAAUUAUGUUAAACUCCUUGUCAUCUAACAUUCCUAAGGACACUAAGUUUCUUUUCAAAUCUGGGACAUGUCUUGUGUUCUCUAGGAACAAAACAUUACCAUUUUCUAAUAAUAAUUUGACAGUCCCAAUUUCACUCACUUUACAUGCAAAGUUGUUUCCCAUUAUAAACUGUCCCCCUUUGGUUCUUUCUAAAUUUAUAAAACAGUUUUUGUUGGGGCACAUAUGAAAAGAACAUCCUGAGUCAAGUAUCCAUUCAUUACUUGAGCAUUUUCAGCACUUACAACACAAAACCAUUUUCUGUUUUAGUUUUAUCAUAGGCUAGUGCAUUGCUUCCAUCAAUGCUCUUUUCUUUUGAAUCAUUUUUCUUUUUAAAACAAUCUUUUGCAAAAUGACCAAGUUUACCACCAUAAUAGCAUUUUUUACCUUUUGCAUUAUUCUUGGUCUUAUUUCUGUCAACCCAUCUCCUAUUAGUUUUGAAAACUUAAAAUUUUGUGUGGGUUUUUCAAAAGAUUUUCCUUUAGUUAAGAAACUAGUUUCAGUAUGACUGUUACUUGACUCAGCCUUAAUUUCUAAAGCUUUAUUCCUCAAAGAACUGGUUAUAUCAUCAACAGUGAGUUCAUCCUUACCAUAAUCAAGGGCAACUUUAAUGUCCUUGUACUUGUCACUUAUGUAGUUUAAUAGAACUACAGCCAAUUGAUCUUUUGAAAGUUUUUCAUCACAAUUGGCCAAGUCUUGGGUAAGUUUUGUGAACCUACUAAGGUUCUCUUCUAUGUCAACUGCAUGAUCCAUUUUAAAGGAGAAGAAUUGUUUUAAAAGAAAACAUUUAUUUGGAGUGGUUUUGAUCUCAUACUUAGCCUUAAGUUUGGCUCAAAGAUUAGAGGCAGUAGUAGUUUCACCUACCUCUCUGAUCACAUUGUCAGACAAAUACAGAAAUAUGGUACUCCAAGCAAUUUCCUUAAGUUCAGAUUUCUUAUUAGGAGCUAAGCCUUUAGGCCAUGAAUCAUCUAAAGACUUGGCACAUUUCAUUCGCAUCAAAAUUGCUCUCAUUUUCUGACUCCACAUGUCAAAAUCAAUUUUACCAUCCAACUGACUAACUUCAAAUUUAGCAGUAGCUAUUGUGCAGAAAAAUUUUCAUGCAAGAUCAGUUUGGAUUUACAGUAGUUUAAAUAGGAAGUCAAGAAAUGUCAAUUUGUAUCAAGUUUGAAAUACAUUAGAACACACAGUAAUACAAAGUUUCACAAUUCUUGCAAUAUUAGAAGAAAACAUGCAAGAUCAAUUAACAGACAAUAAUCACAGAGAUUGAAUUCAAGGUUUCACAGUUCUCUCCAACAAGAUUCUCCAAGUGCACACUCGUACUUGAUUUAUCUCAGAUUCCAGGGGCCUCGCAGGAGCCACUGGACAAAGAUUAGUCUCAUGGGGGGUUUCAACGGUGCACCGAAAAAAUCAGGGGAAAAUUUAGGAAACUCAAGUUUCUGAAAAUUAAUUUACAGAAUAAUAAAAAAGAUCUCACCGAGCGAGUUGAAUAACUCGUAUUGUUCUCAAUCUGCCUUUUCGGCAGUUCCAAAAAAUUCAGGAUUGUUGCAGGUCCACCAGUUUCUCUAAGAUUUAGGUAUCUUGUUCCUUUGGACGUGGCUCUGAUACCACUGUUAAGGCAGGACCACACGAUAUUAAAAUCAAGAAACAAGAAAACCUCAAUCGAACAAAAAUAAAUUGUAGAAAAUUAAAAGAACACAAAGGAAUUAUUUCGGCCUAAGCCCUGGAGGUUCGGCGACCACAUCUAACGUCUACAUCCCCCGUUGAGCAUCCAAGGAUUUGAAUUGUGCUCGGUUGCACUAAACAACCAAAACGAGGCAACGGAUUUACAGAUUGUUCAGAGAGAUGAAAAUGAGACUUAUCUCUCAAGUAUAGCAACAAAUCUAGAGAGAUUCACUCAGAUCUCAGCCCACAACACCUUCGAACACCACCAAAUGAUACAACAGAGAAAUCACUCAGAUUUUUUCAUCAUUCACACAGAAUACAACAAUCGAAGGAAGAUCUCACUACACUCUAUGUAAAAUCAGAGAUUUUACACAAGGAACACAAAGAAAAUCAACAACUCUCAAAUCGCCAAUACUUUUCUCUCUGAAAACCCUAGAGUCGAGAGCAAAAUGAAGGGUUGGUUCUGACGUUCCAAAAGGCUACAGCCUUUUAACAAAAGGCAUAUGAAACGGUUUAAUCCAACGUCCAGAAAUAGUCCACGUAUUGGCCAUUUAGUAAAGUGUCAACACCUAUUAAGUCGUGUUUAAUAGAAAACACGGUUUCAUCACAAAUCAAACUAUGGAAGCACUAAAUAGGAGAACAGGGUACGACUCCAAUACUUUCCAUUCAGACGAUUAACUGCAUCUAUUGAUAUUUCAAGCAUGGUUAUUGUGGAAAGAAGGCAGGACACUGGAAGUAGCAAAUGACAUUGCAGAGCUAUUGUUGGUUGAAUCCGAAGUAAUUAGAUGUAUUCAGGUGGCCUUACUGUGUGUUCAAAAACUACCACAGGACAGGCCAACAAUGGCAUCAGUAGUUGUCAUGUUGAGCUACGAGAGUGUGACAUUACCCCAACCUAAAGAGCCUGGUUUUUUUUUUUUUUUUUGUGGAAAGAAGUUGUGAUGAAACGGACACAUUAACAUGCAAGGAAUCAUGCCUCACUCAAAACGAGGUGACAUUAUUAGUGCUGGAACCAAGAUAAACGAUGUAUGUACGCGUUGUCUUGGUGAACAAGGUGUUGCCUAUGAUCUCACUCAAAACAUGGUGACAAUACAACAUUUGAAGAUAUGCCAUUUCAGUGCUAUUAAAUUGUGUUUUCAGCACUAGAUAAUGAUUACACCUGUGGUUUAAAAAAUAUGUUGAAUUUCUUGCUUCUAACAAAGGUUGAGUAUUAGAUAUAUUUUCUUGACCUCAGUCUAAAAAGGCUCUACCUUGUUUUCUGCAUUUCUAUGUCACUUGAUACUUAGUUGAGUAAUUUAUAUUAAUUAAUUAAUUUAUUUAUUUUUCAAGACAGCUGUGUAAUGAAACACCUUUCCUAUUGCAAAGAGUUCCUUUUACUAGUGGAAAUAUCAAGGGCAGUGGUUGGCUAUAAAAGUCUCCAUUGAUGUCAAAAUCCAUGACUAUGAAGGUUAACAAGUUUGACUGGCACCUUAGUUAAGUCAAAUACUUUUAUUGUAGUUGGAAAACAAGUUUGAGUGUCACCUUAAAUCGAAUAUUGCAUAUUAACCAUGUGAAAAAUAAGUAAAGGUUUCGAAAACAAGUGGGAUAUAAGCAUUUGUAAAUGUCAAAGGCCCAUGCAUGAGUCUCAAUCAAAGGUUCGUGGUAGAAUUUUGUGAGUGAAGAAGGCCUAACAAAUUCCAUUCAUUUAUUUUGAGAUCUCAAUAUGCAAAAAUGGCCUUCAUUUGUUUAUUCCAACCAUCAAAAUGGCAAAAUAUUAGGUUUAAUUUAUUAUUCAAUAAUGUUACAUCUUUGAAUAAGACAUCACAUCUGAAAUGACAUCUUAGAAUCAUUCAUUCGAUCAUUUCCCAUUGGUCUGGCAUUAAAAGUUUAGCCAUUUUUUUCUUUUUUCAUCCCGUCAUUAUGGCAAUUACUGGUAAAGAAGAAAAUUAUGCUUCUAUCAAUACUCUUCAAAUUACUACUUAUUGAUUGAAUAGCCACAAUUCUUUACAAUGGUCUCAAACUGUAAAAAUAUUUUUGAGGGGUAUUAUCUCAAUGGUUCUAUCAUCUGCCAAGGAGAGUCCAGUUACAACACAUGGGAUGCUGAGAAUUUUAUGGUAAUCUCACGGUUGAUCUAACUCGAUGGUGCCAGAAACAGGACACAGUUACAUGUUCUUUCCGGAAGUUUGGAAAUUCUGUCUGAGAAACAUAUUCAGAUUGGGGCGCAUCAAACGUGUAAAAGAUUGUUAAGUUUUGAAAACAUAUACGAGAUAGCAACAAAAGGCCAAAUAAUUUUGUUAAAACAAGUACGAUGUAUAGCAAUGAAAUAGCUAAAACCAUUUAUAAAUUCAAAUUUCGUAAAAAUGUUUCCAUUUUUUCUUUUAAGAAUCUGAGCUGUAAUUUUCAAAUGUUAGAGACGAUUUCGCGAAAAGUCUCUAUCAAAGGUUCACAAUAGGAUUUGUGACUAAAGAAAUCCCAAACAAAUUCCAUUUCAGGUUUUCCUAAUAAUAGUUUUGACGUUUCUGAUUCUAUCUUUGCUUUAUUGUUCAUCAUCAUCAUCCAAGCUGAUUAUUAUCUUCUACGUAGAUAUCUUGUGUAGGAUUCUUAAUGAAAUGUGAAAAUUGCCAUUUAAGAUAAAAAAUUAUGAGAGCCCCAAUCUAUAAUUACAAAUCAUUAACUAAAUAUAACAAAAUGAUCCAGCAGCUAGAAAGAGAUUUUUUAUCGAGAAAAAAAUUGGUUAAGAUGUAGGAUACCUAUCCAAAUGUUUUCACAACUCAAUCAUAUAUGACAGAUAAUCAAAGAUUUGACGGAGUACACUUGCUAAGGUUGAGAUGAGUUCCAUUUAUUAUGUAGAUGGAAAAAUGGUAAAAUAAUUAAUUCCUUUUUUACAGUAAAUUCUUACAUUUUUUUUUAUUUUUUAUUUUUGGGUGAAUGACACUAGUCAUUUUUAUAUCAUUGUACAAUGUUCUUUGGUUUACUUCUUGUGGUGAAUACUGAAACAGCAGGGUAUAUACUUUUAAAAAAACGUCAUAUAAAAUAAAUUUUUAAUUUUAUGACGACUAAAAUAAACCACUAUCGAAAGAACAAAUAUGUCAUGAUAAUGGCAACAGCCUUUAAUUGUUGUGCAACGGCGUAUGAAUAUUUCCAAAAUGUAAGUUCUUCGAACGUCAUAACCGGUGUCAUUAAAAAUAUGGAUAAUUCUACAUCUAUGUUAUGAACACUGUUAUGGAUACUAUAAUGUACAUGUAACAUAACCCUAAAAAUAUAUUCUUUCUAUUACAAAAAUUAUAACCAUCCUCGUAACACUUUAGGUUAAUCGUAUACCUGAUGGCUCGUCAUAAAUCAUGCCCAUGGAUAACCUUAUGUGACGACAGUUCCAUAGUUGGCAAUACAAUAAGUGUUUAAGGAUUUAAGUCUCUCUUUUCCAAGUUCCCGUACUGUCAAGAACAAAUUAAUGUGUUCUCAUUGUCAAACAUUUGAAGUCCAUUAGUUAGGUGAUUUUAGACUAUUACAUUUAUUGCUUGAUGUGAACCCAACGGCCACAGUUUCGUGGAGGAAAUUUCCAGUUGAUUUUCUAUAAACAUAUUACAUUUAUAUUGCUAGAAGUUUAGAGUGCGUUUGAUUGCAAACAUGUAAUUUACAUGGAAAGAAAAUAAAUUCUACACAAUUAAAUUCCGUGUAACUUAUUUGCAUGGAAAUUGUCAAUUAAUAUGUUUGAUUGAUUUAAUUUUCAAUCUAGAAAAUGUUAUGCUUGUCCAUUUUUUGUUAUUAGGUAGAUGAGAGAGAACUUGGACAAUGAAAAUCUACUCCCCUAAAAAAGUAUUUUCCUUGUUUUUAGAGAAAAUAUAGUCAUAUAAUCAAAAGUAGGAAAACGUUUUGAUAUGAUUGAAAAAUCAUUAUGGAAAGAAUUCCUUCAAAGAAAGUUGGGGUAAAAAACAUUCGACUUCAAGAAAAUGACAUAUAGUCCUUGUUUGCUGGGAUAAAAAUAAAAUUUUUUAGCAAAUUUUGAUAAAAAUUUAUGAAAUGUAUGGUUAAAAAGUUGUCGAUCCCUUAAAAUAAGUGGUUGAAAUUAAUUGUUGAAAUUGAUUUAGACUAGAAUAUGAAAUUUAACUUCUAUCAAACGGGGGCCUAAUUAGAUCUCCUACACUUGCUAAUUUUUUCUCUCUUAUUUUUUUUUUCGCCCUAAGAUUAUAAGCCGGCGAAACAUCAUGAGGUAUAAGGUUAGCGUUUGCAUUCUGUUGUAGCCAGAAGCGUGAAAUAAACGAAGGUAAAUGUCCAGGGGCGGACCCACAUGGGGUCAUGUGGGGUCAAUUGACCCCACAGUUUUUUUUUUCCAUUUUUUUUAAAUUUUCUGCUGCUGAAAAGAUUAUUUGGGUUUGGGGUUCCAAAUUCUAAUUAAAUAUCCACUCCAAUCCAUUAAUUCUAUGAAUUUAUUUUCGUUAAUGAUACGUUGUUUGAAAAAAAAAUUAUUUUUGACCCCACUGUCCGAAGUAUCUGGGUCCGCCCUUGUAAAUGUCGAACCUAAAAAUGUGUUGGUUCUGAAAAUACAAUGAAUUUAGGAAUCAAUCAUUCGUAGAUUUACCAUGGAAUACCGAAUAAUUGAGAGAUGUGUCUUUUCUUUCUUUUAUUAAAAAAUAUAUUUAAAAUUGUAACACAUCUUUUAAUUUGUGAUCGUUCAUCGCUCUUGAUAAUGUAAGUGGAAUACUUAAAAGAAUUCCCCAGACAAUUCUAAAUAAUACAACUACUAAACCUUCUGCUACAUGCCAAUGAAGAUUUUAUCUUCCUUAAUAUUUCACAUUAUUCUCUUGUCUUUAUUCUCGGGAUUCUGCAGUGCUGCUGAUACAUUGAACUCAAAUGUCUCCAUCACCUAUGGUGAGACUUUGGUCUCCUCAGGCCAAAGCUUAGAAUUAGGCUUCUUUUCAUUCAGUAAUUCUGGCAAAUGGUACACAGGAAUAUGGUACAUGAUUUUCCCAAAAAUCAUUCUGUGGAUUGCAAACAGGGAAACCCCAUUAAGGAAUUCAUCUGGUGUUUUAACAGUUACCCCUAAUGGAGAUCUCGUCCUUCUGAAUGCUACGACUGGCGAUGUUUUCUGGUCAUCCAAUUGUUCUGAAAAUGAACCAGGCAGAGUGGCACAGCUAUUGGAAACUGGCAACCUUGUACUCGGAGGGGAAGAUGAUGCCACACAAAACUAUACAUGGCAAAGCUUUGAUUACCCAUCUGAUACGCUUUUACCAGGCAUGAAAUUUGGAUGGAGCACCAGCACAAACAGGUAUUUAACAGCUUGGAAAGAUGACAGUGAUCCCUCUCCUGGAGACGUUACUUUCCAACUCGAAAAUAUUGGGAUGCCUCAAUUUGUUCUUCGCAAGGGAUCAGAAACGAUUUACCGGUCAGGGCCAUGGAAUGGAAUCGAAUUUAGUGGAUCCUAUGGCUGGGAUUCGGCUUUCAAGCAAAUUUUUGUUUAUAACAAUGAAGAACUUUACUUUAUGAAUGAGAUUGUCAACAAUGUUUGCUUAUUAUCAAGGGGUGUCUAAUUCGAAAGUACAAUACAUAUUUUAAUUAUUAAGGUGACGGUCAAGUUGGUUAACCUUGAUGGUGAAAGUUUUGUAAAUCAAUGUAGACUUGUAUGCAUUAUCACGUUUCUGCUAUUAGUCCUUUAUGGAAAAACUCUUUAUGCAAUAGGAGAUAUGGUGUGUGGACGAGAUAAAUGGAUUAAAUUUUUUUUAUUUAAUUAUUCAAAUAAAGACUUCGUUUGAUGGUUAUAUGGUCAUUUUAAUCAUUAGAAUUUUUUGCGUAAGAUUUAACUAUUAAGCAAUAGUUAGGGUUCCAUUGUAGGUCGAAUGUUUAUAAAUAAAAAGAUUUUUUUUCUUCGAAUUUUGGAUAUUUUGAUACUCAAAAUCGACGGAUUAAAUCUUUUUUGAUAUUCUUGCACAUGUCAACAAUGUUUUGAUACCUAGUUUUAUGAUAUUAAUAAAUCAACACAUGCUAGAAGGUCAUUAUGUUAUGGUAGUUGGUUGAAAACGAUGAGACUUCGAUCGUGUGUACAUGUUUUACGUUUCUACCUACAUCAACUCUUCUUAAAAAUAAAAAGAAUAAUAGAAUAUUUGGUUGCCAACCUUUCAAAAAUAUGUAAAAUAUAGCCAUAACCUUUAAAAAUAGCACUACUCAUCCACAAAGGAUCGAGGAAUAAGCAUGCUAAAUCCCUGUUGACAGAAUCCAUUCAUUUCUCUAAAAUAAAAGACCUGUGAGAAAGAGUGCAGUGUGAAAAAUGGUCCAGUGAUGCAGGUGCCAUGGCGCCCAUGGUUCUGAUCGAUCUUGGCGCCAUGGCGCCACUCAUGGGCGCCAUGGCGCCCGAUUCAUUCUAUAUAUAGCUGGUGUUUUUCCCCUUCAUGGAACACCCGAUUUUUGGAGAGAAAAGUGAGAGAGCUUGGAUUGAAUUUAACAAGUAAGAGGUUGUUCUUCUUGGGUAUAAAUUGAAAGCUAUUUUUCUUUUCUUGGGGAUUAACUUGAGACUUGUUCAAGUAAUCCAAUCCAUUGUUCUUCAUUUAUAUAUUGAAAAUCAUUUCUUCCCCAUUUUCUUGUUCUUCAAGUGGUUUGGAAAUUUUCACAUUGUCAAGCUUAAUUUCUUGGGCAAUCUUUGGGAGGUCAUUUUCCCAACAAUUUGGUAUCAGAGCUUCUUCCUAAAUCAAGGUGGUUAAGCUUCGAUUUUGUGGUUAGUUGCUUGAACUUUGUUGCACACAAGGUGUUUGUGAAAAUUCCCAAGUGAACUUUGGUGAUUUAUUUUCGGUAAACAAGUGGAUAAAUCAUGUCUACUAGAGGAAUGGUGAAGAUUGGGAAGUAUGAGAUAGAGAAAUUCAAUGAGAAGAAUGAUUUUUCAUAUUGGAGAAUGCAAAUGAAAAAUUUGUUGAUUUCUCAAAAGUUGCACAAGGCAUUGGCGGGAAAGGAGAAGAAGCACAUUGAUAUGUCGGACGAGGAUUAGGAAGAGCUAGAUCUUGAGGCACGAGCGUCUAUCAUUCUUUACCUUGAAAGAGAUGUUGCUUUUUUGGUUGAUAGUGAGGUAACGGCGGCGGAGGUGUGGACAAAGUUGGAGGCAAACUUCAUGACGAAGACUCUAACAAAUCGGAUCUAUUUGAAGUCCAAAUUGUAUACUUGCAAGAUGGAUGAAGGUACACCAAUCCGGGAGUACGUCAACAAGUUCGAUAGGAUCAUAUCGGACUUGAAGGACAUUGAUGUGGAUGUAGAUGAUGAGGAUCAAGCACUUUUACUACUUCUUUCAUUGCCAAAGUCUUACGAGAACCUAGUACAAACAUUGAUGCUUGUGGGUGAUAAACUUGUGAUGGAGGACACUAGAACGUCACUUCUAGCGGAUGAUUUUCGAAAGAUUGCAACUAGUGGCAUGUCUACCAUUGGUAACAAGGAGCAAGCUCAAGGAUUAUUUGUAAGGGAAAGAAGUAAUGUGCGACCAAAGGACAAGGGAGAAAAAUCUAGAUCGAGUUCUAGACCUCUUGCGGAAAGGUCUUGUUUCAAAUGCGGCGAGCUUGGGCAUUUCAAGGCGAAUUGUCCAAACAAAAGGGGUUGGAAGAAGAACAAUAAGAACAACAACAACGGGAAGGUGCAAGUCAAGCAAGAGGUAAGCUAUGCCUCGGAAGGAGGGAAAAGCGAUGAGUGCUACACCAUCUCUUGUGAUGAAGAAACCUCCGGUAAGUGGAUUCUUGACUCUGGAUGCUCUUACCAUAUGUGUCCAAAUAGGAAGUGGUUUACUACCUAUAGAAACACUGAUGGUGGAACCGUGUUGAUGGGUAAUAACCAUUCAUGUAAAACUGUGGGGCUUGGUUCAAUUAGAAUCAAGAUGCAUGAUGGAGUGGUUAGAACAUUGAUGGAUGUUAGACAUGUUCCUGAUUUGCGAAAGAAGCUCAUCUCUGUUGGUGCCUUAGACUCCGGUGGUUGCAAGAUUGUAACAUGGAAUGUAGUAAAGAAGGUUGUACGUGGUUCUUUGAUUGUGAUGAAGGGUAUUCGUGAAGGCAAUCUCUAUGCUCUUCAGGGUACUACAGUCACUGAAGAUGUAGCAGUUGGAACAAGUGGAAGUGGUGGAGACCCAUGUGAGUGCACUCGGCUAUGGCAUAGGAGGCUUGGGCAUAUGUCUGAAAAGGGGCUAGAUUUGCUAGUCAAGAAAGGUUUGCUAAAGAACUUGAAGAAACCUUGCAUGGACUUUUGCGAGCAUUGCGUGUACGGUAAAGCACACCGAGUUCAGUUCCAGCCAAGCAAACAUAGAAGCAGAGGCAUUCUUGACUAUGUGCACACGGAUGUAUGGGGUCUGGCUUCUGUCACUUCCAAAGGCGGUUCCAGGUAUUUUGUUACAUUUGUUGAUGAUUAUUCUAGAUAUGCUUGGAUUUAUUUUUUGAAGCAUAAGAAUGAGGUAUUCGACACUUUCAAGAAGUGGAAAGCAAUGGUUGAAAACAGAACAGGAAAGAAAUUGAAGACACUGCGAUCUGAUAACGGUACUGAGUAUACAGAUGGUGCUUUCAAGGAGUUCUGUGGUAAGGAAGGCAUUGUGAGACACUGGACAGUUAGAAAUACACCGCAACAGAAUGGGGUCGCAGAAAGACUGAAUCGCACAUUUCGAGAAAAAUCGAUGUGUAUGCGAUCCUAUGCAGGUUUGGGCAGAGAAUGGUGGGCAGAGUCGGUUGCAAAUGCUUGCUACAUAGUGAACCGGUCUCCACAUUCUAGGUUAGAUGGAGAUAUACCUUACAGGGUAUUGACAGGAGAACAUGCAGAUUAUGAGAAACUCAGAACAUUCGGAUGCACAGCCUACUAUCAUGUCAACGAGGGAAAGCUUGAUGCGAGGGCCAAGAAGGCUAUAUUCUUGGGCUAUGCGACAGGUGUUAAAGGCUAUCGCCUUUGGUGUGUAGAGGAUUCUAAGUUCAUAAUCAGCAGAGAUGUUACUUUUGAUGAGAACUCCAUGGUAGCUUCGUUGAAAGCUACAGUGCCCGGUGGUGAUGAUGUUGAGACUACAAUGUCUCAAGUUAUUGACAUAGAACCUAGAGAUCAACCUGAUUCUAGGCAUGUUCAAGAGGAGCAUCAAACAGACACUCAAGAUGAGAGUGAUGAUGCACUUGAACAAGAAGCGAUUCAGCAAGAGAAUGUACAGGCACAGCAACAACAGCAACUUGCAGAUAACUUGGCUUCCUCUAGGCCACGCCGUACUUACAAGCAAGUUCUAAAGUUGGGGUUAGACGAGCCUUUGAGGCACUAUGGGCAGAUAAAUUUGGUUGAGUAUGCACUCUCGGUGGAGGAUGAUGAACCUACCACUUUCAAGGAAGCUAUUUUAAACAACAAUAGCGAGAGUUGGUUGGCGGCAAUGGAAGAAGAGAUGGAAUCACUUUACAAUAACCAAACAUGGGAGGUUGUCCCAUUGCCCAUAGGUAAGAAAGCUAUUGGUUGCAAGUGGUUGUAUAAAAAGAAGGAGGAUCCUACCAAGCUCAGUGGUACAAGAUUCAAAGCGAGGUUAGUGGCUAAGGGGUUUGCACAAAGAGAGGGAGUUGACUACAAUGAGAUCUUUUCUCCUGUAGUCAAGCACACUUCCAUUCGGGUGCUAUUGAGUAUUGUUGCUCAUCAUGAUCUUGAGCUGGAACAACUCGAUGUCAAAACCGCCUUCUUGCACGGGGACUUGGAUGAGGAGAUCUAUAUGCAUCAACCUGAGGGCUACAAGGUUGAGGAUAAGGAACAUCAGGUAUGUCGCUUGAGAAAAUCACUAUAUGGAUUGAAGCAAUCUCCUCGACAGUGGUACAAGCGAUUUGACUCCUUCAUGCUAAAGCAUGGUUUCUCCAGAAGUGAGUAUGACUGUUGUGUUUAUAUUCGGAAACUUCGGGGAGGUAACUAUAUCUAUCUUCUUCUGUAUGUGGAUGACAUGCUUAUCGCAUCGAAAAGCAAGGUGGAGAUAGAUAAGUUAAAAUCUCAACUUGGUAAAGAGUUUGAGAUGAAGGAUAUGGGGGCUGUUAGGAAAAUACUGGGUAUAGAGAUCAGAAGAGAGAGGACGAACCGGCGAAUGUUCUUGAGUCAGAAAGGCUACAUUGAGCGGGUUAUUGCUAGGUUCGGGUUGCAAGGUGCAAAGUCGGUGGUAACUCCAUUGGCUCCACAUUUCAGGCUCUCUGGUAAACAGUCUCCUACUACAGCGAAAGAAAAGGUACGCAUGGAUCGUGUGCCUUAUGCUAGUGCAGUUGGCAGUUUGAUGUAUGCCAUGGUGUGUACACGCCCAGACAUUUCACAGGCAGUUAGUGUGGUCAGUAGAUUCAUGGCGAAUCCGAGGAAGGCACACUAGGAAGCUGUGAAGUGGAUCCUGAGGUACUUNNNNNNNNNNNNNNNNNNNNNNNNNNNNNNNNNNNNNNNNNNNNNNNNNNNNNNNNNNNNNNNNNNNNNNNNNNNNNNNNNNNNNNNNNNNNNNNNNNNNNNNNNNNNNNNNNNNNNNNNNNNNNNNNNNNNNNNNNNNNNNNNNNNNNNNNNNNNNNNNNNNNNNNNNNNNNNNNNNNNNNNNNNNNNNNNNNNNNNNNNNNNNNNNNNNGAACUACGGAGGCUUGAUCCCGAGUUUUGGGUACGUAGGCAACCAUGGUUUGAAUGGUACAGCCGAGUUUGGCGCUUGCUGCUUCUUCUUGUGUUCGUCCAAAAUUUGAGGUCGAUCAAAUGAUGUACGAGGUGGAGAAUUGUGAGAAAGAGUGCAGGGAGUCAGGCGCCAUGGCGCCAUGAUUGGGCGCCAUGGUGCCCAAAGUGUGAAAAAUGGUCCAGUGAUGCAGGCGCCAUGGCUCCCACUCUGGGCGCCAUGGCGCCCGAUUCAUUCUAUAUAUAGCUGGUGUUUUUCCUCUUCAUGGAACACCCGAUUUUUGGAGAGAAAAGUGAGAGAGCUUGGAUUGAAUUUAACAAGUAAGAGGUUGUUCUUCUUGGGUAUAAAUUCAAAGCUAUUUUUCUUUUCUUGGGGAUUAACUUGAGGCUUGUUCAAGUAAUCCAAUCCAUUGUUCUUCAUUUAUAUAUUGAAAAUCAUUUCUUCCCCAUUUUCUUGUUCUUCAAGUGGUUUGGAAAUUUUCACAUUGUCAAGCUUAAUUUCUUGGGCAAUCUUUGGGACGUCAUUUUCCCAACAAGACCAAAGAGAAAAAAUUUACGUCCAAAAAUGUAAAAUGACAAAGAGGCUCUCUUCUUCAUUUAUCGCCAACCACCAACCCAAUCGAUCAUCAAAUCUUUCAUUGCACUUUGAAUAAUUAACUGAUUAUCAUACCUUUUAUGGAGCCAAGAUUUUUGUAGAGUAUCAUGGCUUCAAGACUUAACUUUGAAGUUGUAAUUUUUAUAUGUACUCUACGUUAAUUAGAGAGGGGUAGACCAUUUAUGCCCCGAGCCAAAAAAAAUUCCUCGAUUUACAUAUAAAUUGCUAUGUUAUCAAAUAGUAUUAGCCUCAAAAUUAGGCUGAAAACAAAUUUUCUUUUUGUGUUCUUUCUUGUCCCUGGAGAGUAAGAGGGUAUCAGGACCAUAUGAUGCAGAAUACUAAUUGAUCAUUAGUUUGCUUUGAGUUGAAGUUGAUUGGAUUUCUAAUACACUUGCAUUCAAUAAUUACGGCUAAUUUGACCUUUCAAUACAAUUUUCAAAAAUGCUAUUUGUACAGCCUUUUUUUUAUUUUUUAUUUUAUUUACAACAAUUUUCACAUUUCCUCACAGAGGUGGGGUCCACGAUUAUUUUAAUCGUGGACCACACCCACUUGAAUGUGUGUAUGCUGUGUAAAAAAAGGUAUGAAAAAUGAUGUACUUGUAGAAUGAUUCUACAAUUUUUAAGGAUUUCUAAUACACUUGCAUUCAAUGAUUAGGGCUAAUUUGACUUUUCAAUACAAUUUUAAGGCAUCUCCAAUUAUUGCAUUAAAAGUUUGGGACCAAAUGGAAAAUCAUCUCUAACACAGACCGAAAGUUGCAUCACAUGAACAAUGUUUCAUCAUUUUCUUUAUUUUUUAUUUCUUAAUAAUUUAUUUAUCUCAAAUUUAUCGCUAUAUAAAUUACUAAAUAAAUAAUUACGUUUAGUUAACAAAAAUAUUGAAUUCAUUAAUAUAUUAAAAAAUGUGAACACUUAAUACAAGUACCACAUUUAAAAAAAGAUUACAUGCAACAUAAUAAUAUUAAAAAAAUAUGUAAUAUAUUUCGAAUUUUGAUAUCAUGAUAUUACGAAAUCUAACUAAUGUUGUCAUUUAAUUCUCGAAAUUAGUAUAUUCAUCUGACAAAUGAUCAAUUAAUGCAUUUUGAAAUGCAAUGUGAGUGUCUAUGACACGCAAUGAAAUCUUGAAAGCCAUGAUUUUCGUCUUCAACCAACUCAACUCUGGAGUUGGCGUUUCCAUAUGACCUUUUGCUGUAUAAUAAGCAAAAUUGUGAUUCUUCAAAAGUCCUCGUGCUACAUCCUUCUGCUGCUUGCCAGUGAAGAUUUUGUCUUCCUUACUCUUUUACAUUCUUCUCUUGUCUUUACUCUCGGGAUUCCGCAGAGCUGCUGAUACAUUGAGCUCAAAUGGCACCAUCACCUACGGUGAGACUUUGGAAUCCUCAGGCCAAAGCUUUGAAUUAGGUUUCUUUUCCCCCAAUAAUUCUGGCAAAUGGUACAUAGGAAUAUGGUACAAGAAAUUCCCAGAAAUCAUUGUGUGGAUUGCAAACAGGGAAACCCCAUUAAGGAAUUCAUCUGGUGUUUUAACAAUUACCCCUAACGGAGAUCUUGCUAUUAUGAAUGCAAUGACGGGCGACGUUUUCUGGUCAUCCAAUUCUUCUAAAAAUGAACCAGCAACAGCGGCACAGCUAUUGGAAUCUGGUAACCUUGUACUCAGAAGAAAAGAUGAUACCACACAGAACUAUGUAUGGCAAAGCUU
rnacentral:lncRNA from 1 species